rnacentral:rRNA from 1 species
AGAUUGAACGCUAGCGGCAUGCCUAACACAUGCAAGUCGAACGGUAACAGGCCCUUCGGGGUGCUGACGAGUGGCGGACGGGUGAGUAAUGCGUAGGAAUCUACCCCACGAGUGGGGGAUAGCCCGGAGAAAUCCGGAUUAAUACCGCAUAUGCCCUACGGGGUAAAGCGGGGGAUCGUAAGACCUCGGCGCUGGUGGAUGAGCCUACCGUCCGAUUAGUUAGUUGGGUAGGGUAAUGGCCUACCAAGGCGACGAUCCGUAGCUGGUCUGAGAGGACGACCAGCCACACUGGGACUA